GCCUGGGUGGCUCAGUUGGUUGAGCGUCUGACUUCAGCUCAGGUCAUGAUCUCACAGUCUGUGAGUUCGAGCCCCACGUCGGGCU
rnacentral:tRNA from 1 species